UCAUGACCUGAAGUCGGACGCUCGACCUACUGGGCCACCCAGGUUUUUAUCUAUGUAAAAGGUGAAAGCAACUGAGUGUCCAUCCACGGAGGAGUGGAUUGGAAGAAUGUGGCCCGUUGGUACACUGGAAGAUUCUUCAGCCUUAAAAAGAAAGGCUGUCCUGACCCCAGCUACAACAGGGACGAACCUGGAGGACGUUACGCUGAGUGAGGCUCAGCGUAACACCUGACGGAAGGAAGAAGCCCAAGAACGAUUUGUUAAAAGAAACAACGGAUGAGAGAAUAAAUCGGGAACUGAAAUGUGAAUAGGAACGGACGUAGCAUGAUUGCAGCCAAGGAAAUAUGGAAGAAUGUUACACAGACAAGUCAAGGAAGUCAAGGCCACUACAGUUCAGCUGACGGGGGAGUCUUUUUCAGAUGGACCAUAGGCAGGAAGUGAGUCUCCCAUCCAGGAGCAGUCAAACAAAAACUGCCGAUAACCUCAAUCAUGGCACCCACCGUCAACGUCACACAGAACAGGGAACGGGUCCCGCCAAGUUCCCUACCGUCGCCACCGCCACGGCCACCGCCGCUGCCACGCCCACAGCACUGGCCGUCCACGGCCACACACGACCAACCUCCACUAGGGCCGCCGUUCCCACACCACCGUCGCCAGGGCGGUCGUCAAAAAUCAGCAACGGACGGCCAACAGCCAAAAGUGUUGCCAUCACCGCCCCACUCGGGGCAAGAGCGGCCACCGACUACCGUCAUUCCACGGAUCAGCCCUGAAGACGACCAGCCACCAACCACAGAUCAACACCGGCUGGCAGGCGGCAACCAUCGCCCCUGCCGACACGCGCCCACGGGAUUCACAGUUACCGCCAACUUGUGACGACUGUGGGCGAUGGCCACCAUCAUCCCCCCACCCCCACCGGGCACCCACCGCCCAUCAUUCAACAGCAACCGAGAGUCGCCUCCCCCGGCUGCCAUCACUAACGACAGCAAUGAAUGGGCAUCGCCCACGGUGACUGCAUCGAGGGCGCAGCGUGUGGCUUGGGGAAGCACUUGAAGAACACUGCUCCGUUGACUCUUUCCACACUCUUCCUGGCACUCAUCACCCCCCCCCCCCCCAGGAAGCAGUCGGCACCCCUGGAUGGAAGUUUUGGCCUUGUGGAUGGGGUCUGCCCUCUGUUUUCCCCUCCGUGGUCCUCUUGGGUUGAGCUUCUCCCUUCCCGCAACCCGCCAGGAGAGCAAACAAUUGACUAAGCAUUUUGUACAGCUUCCUUGCGAGGGGGUGGAUUUCUUUCAAGUAGCAAAUCAUUUCCUGUGUUCUUUUGAUCUCCGUCUCCCCAUCCGAGCGCCCGAGCCUUCCUGGCUUGGCUCCUUCUUCGAGGAAUUCCCAUCCCAAGCCCGGGGCUCUAAGCUGCCACUUUGGUGGGUGAGCCACCCAGAGGGGUCCUCGGCCAGUGACCCCCGGUUCGUCGCGGGCUUUCUGAAACGAGGAGGGGCUCUCUCCCAGACGGAUGCAGUCCCUGCCGUCUGGCCCACCACCCUGCCUACACCUU